rnacentral:rRNA from 1 species
AGGACGAACGCUGGCGGCGUGCUUAACACAUGCAAGUCGAGCGGAAAGGCCCUUUCGGGGGUACUCGAGCGGCGAACGGGUGAGUAACACGUGAGUAACCUGCCCUGGACUUUGGGAUAACCCUCGGAAACGGGGGCUAAUACCGGAUACGACAUACUCCUGCAUGGGAUGUGUGUGGAAAGUUUUUCGGCUGGGAUGGGCUCGCGGCCUAUCAGCUUGUUGGUGGGGUGAUGGCCUACCAAGGCGACGACGGGUA